rnacentral:rRNA from 1 species
CACCUGGCGACAGGAUGCCAAUCCCCAAAACCUCUCUCAGUUCGGAUCGAAGUCUGCAACCCGACUUCGUGAAGCUGGAUUCGCUAGUAAUCGCGCAUCAGCCAUGGCGCGGUGAAUACGUUCCCGGGCCUUGUACACACCGCCCGUCAAGCCAUGAAAGCCGGGGGUACCUGAAGUACGUAACCGCAAGGAUCGUCCUAGGGUAAAACUGGUAAUUGGGGCUAAGUCGUAACAAGGUACC